rnacentral:rRNA from 1 species
GGGUUGUGAGGUUAAGCGACUAAGCGUACACGGUGGAUGCCCUGGCAGUCAGAGGCGAUGAAGGGCGUGCUAAUCUGCGAUAAGCGCCGGUAAGGUGAUAUGAACCGUUAUAACCGGCGAUACCCGAAUGGGGAAACCCAGUGUGACUCGUCACACUAUCAUUAACUGAAUCCAUAGGUUAAUGAGGCGAACCGGGGGAACUGAAACAUCUAAGUACCCCGAGGAAAAGAAAUCAACCGAGAUUCCCCCAGUAGCGGCGAGCGAACGGGGAGGAGCCCAGAGCCUGAAUCAGCAUGUGUGUUAGUGGAAGCGUCUGGAAAGGCGCGCGAUACAGGGUGACAGCCCCGUACACAAAAGCGCAUGUGCUGUGAGCUCGAUGAGUAGGGCGGGACACGUGGUAUCCUGUCUGAAUAUGGGGGGACCAUCCUCCAAGGCUAAAUACUCCUGACUGACCGAUAGUGAACCAGUACCGUGAGGGAAAGGCGAAAAGAACCCCGGCGAGGGGAGUGAAAAAGAACCUGAAACCGUGUACGUACAAGCAGUGGGAGCACAGGUUUACCUGUGUGACUGCGUACCUUUUGUAUAAUGGGUCAGCGACUUAUAUUCUGUAGCAAGGUUAACCGAAUAGGGGAGCCGCAGGGAAACCGAGUCUUAACCGGGCGUUAAGUUGCAGGGUAUAGACCCGAAACCCGGUGAUCUAGCCAUGGGCAGGUUGAAGGUUGGGUAACACUAACUGGAGGACCGAACCGACUAAUGUUGAAAAAUUAGCGGAUGACCUGUGGCUGGGGGUGAAAGGCCAAUCAAACCGGGAGAUAGCUGGUUCUCCCCGAAAGCUAUUUAGGUAGCGCCUCGUGAAUUCAUCUCCGGGGGUAGAGCACUGUUUCGGCUAGGGGGCCAUCCCGGCUUACCAACCCGAUGCAAACUGCGAAUACCGGAGAAUGUUAUCACGGGAGACACACGGCGGGUGCUAACGUCCGUCGUGAAGAGGGAAACAACCCAGACCGCCAGCUAAGGUCCCAAAGUCAUGGUUAAGUGGGAAACGAUGUGGGAAGGCCCAGACAGCCAGGAUGUUGGCUUAGAAGCAGCCAUCAUUUAAAGAAAGCGUAAUAGCUCACUGGUCGAGUCGGCCUGCGCGGAAGAUGUAACGGGGCUAAACCAUGCACCGAAGCUGCGGCAGCGACACUGUGUGUUGUUGGGUAGGGGAGCGUUCUGUAAGCCUGUGAAGGUGGCCUGUGAGGGUUGCUGGAGGUAUCAGAAGUGCGAAUGCUGACAUAAGUAACGAUAAAGCGGGUGAAAAGCCCGCUCGCCGGAAGACCAAGGGUUCCUGUCCAACGUUAAUCGGGGCAGGGUGAGUCGACCCCUAAGGCGAGGCCGAAAGGCGUAGUCGAUGGGAAACGGGUUAAUAUUCCCGUACUUGGUGUUACUGCGAAGGGGGGACGGAGAAGGCUAUGUUGGCCGGGCGACGGUUGUCCCGGUUUAAGCGUGUAGGCUGGUUUUCCAGGCAAAUCCGGAAAAUCAAGGCUGAGGCGUGAUGACGAGGCACUACGGUGCUGAAGCAACAAAUACCCUGCUUCCAGGAAAAGCCUCUAAGCAUCAGGUAACAUCAAAUCGUACCCCAAACCGACACAGGUGGUCAGGUAGAGAAUACCAAGGCGCUUGAGAGAACUCGGGUGAAGGAACUAGGCAAAAUGGUGCCGUAACUUCGGGAGAAGGCACGCUGACAUGUAGGUGAAGUGAUUUACUCACGGAGCUGAAGUCAGUCGAAGAUACCAGCUGGCUGCAACUGUUUAUUAAAAACACAGCACUGUGCAAACACGAAAGUGGACGUAUACGGUGUGACGCCUGCCCGGUGCCGGAAGGUUAAUUGAUGGGGUCAGCGCAAGCGAAGCUCCUGAUCGAAGCCCCGGUAAACGGCGGCCGUAACUAUAACGGUCCUAAGGUAGCGAAAUUCCUUGUCGGGUAAGUUCCGACCUGCACGAAUGGCGUAAUGAUGGCCAGGCUGUCUCCACCCGAGACUCAGUGAAAUUGAACUCGCUGUGAAGAUGCAGUGUACCCGCGGCAAGACGGAAAGACCCCGUGAACCUUUACUAUAGCUUGACACUGAACAUUGAGCCUUGAUGUGUAGGAUAGGUGGGAGGCUUUGAAGUGUGGACGCCAGUCUGCAUGGAGCCGACCUUGAAAUACCACCCUUUAAUGUUUGAUGUUCUAACGUGGACCCGUUACCCGGGUUGCGGACAGUGUCUGGUGGGUAGUUUGACUGGGGCGGUCUCCUCCUAAAGAGUAACGGAGGAGCACGAAGGUUGGCUAAUCCUGGUCGGACAUCAGGAGGUUAGUGCAAUGGCAUAAGCCAGCUUGACUGCGAGCGUGACGGCGCGAGCAGGUGCGAAAGCAGGUCAUAGUGAUCCGGUGGUUCUGAAUGGAAGGGCCAUCGCUCAACGGAUAAAAGGUACUCCGGGGAUAACAGGCUGAUACCGCCCAAGAGUUCAUAUCGACGGCGGUGUUUGGCACCUCGAUGUCGGCUCAUCACAUCCUGGGGCUGAAGUAGGUCCCAAGGGUAUGGCUGUUCGCCAUUUAAAGUGGUACGCGAGCUGGGUUUAGAACGUCGUGAGACAGUUCGGUCCCUAUCUGCCGUGGGCGCUGGAGAACUGAGGGGGGCUGCUCCUAGUACGAGAGGACCGGAGUGGACGCAUCACUGGUGUUCGGGUUGUCAUGCCAAUGGCACUGCCCGGUAGCUAAAUGCGGAAGAGAUAAGUGCUGAAAGCAUCUAAGCACGAAACUUGCCCCGAGAUGAGUUCUCCCUGAGACUUAGAGUCUCCUGAAGGAACGUUGAAGACGACGACGUUGAUAGGCCGGGUGUGUAAGCGCAGCGAUGCGUUGAGCUAACCGGUACUAAUGAACCGUGAGGCUUAACCUUACAACGCCGAAG